rnacentral:rRNA from 1 species
UACGGGGGGGGCAAGCGUUGUUCGGAAUUACUGGGCGUAAAGGGCUCGUAGGUGGCCAACUAAGUCAGACGUGAAAUCCCUCGGCUUAACCGGGGAACUGCGUCUGAUACUGGAUGGCUUGAGUUUGGGAGAGGGACGCGGAAUUCCAGGUGUAGCGGUGAAAUGCGUAGAUAUCUGGAGGAAUACCGGUGGCGAAGGCGGCAUCCUGGACCGGCAUUGACGCUGAGGAGCGAAAGCCAGGG